AUUUUUACUUUUGCACGCGCAGUUCGGCUUAAUCAUUUCAAUAGAUCUUAUUUUCUGCAGUUUUCAUGUUUUCUGUGUGAGGGAAACUUUUUUUUUGUGUGGUGGCGGUUGUACUGAAAUUAGGGUUCGGGAAGGGAGGAAAGGGGGGAAAACAAAUAUAACCAGGCCGAAUGUUUAGGAAUGGCUGAAGAGAACAGCAAGGGUCACAGCAAUAAGAUAAAGAAAGCUGCGGUUGCUGAGGAAGAGGGGAGUGAGGAAGAGGAGGAAGAGGAGGAGGACGAGGAAGAGGAGGAAGGGGAGCUGAGUUUGGAGAAGGCCCUACAGCAGUGCGACCUGAACCAGGACAUGAUCGACAUCAGCAUCUCCAGCCUGGAGGGGCUCAGGACCAAAUGUUCCGCUUCCAACGACUUGACACAGCAGGAGAUUCGGAUGCUGGAGGUAAAACUGCAUCCCUUGUCCUCUUUUUUUUGGUAGGGGUGGGGACGAACAUCCCGCCUUUUCAAAGAAAUAUAAACAAACGAGGAGAAAUCUGGUGCAUAUGCAAACUGGGGCAAGUGAGAACAGAGGGGGAAAAUCUGUCAGAGACCCUCCACCCCAAUGCAGGGGCUGCAAGUCGGGGACGAUGAAGCCUCUGAGACUCAGACUUUUAGAUUUAAAGCAGUACCGUCUGUUUUUCUAAAGCAUUUAGAAAAUGGGUGCUUAUGAAGGAUUUACUUAUUAGUCGUAAUCCAGAUAUUUGGCACCUGCAUGUAUUAUGCAAAGUCCCAGAGCACAGAACUGUGUACAACCAUGACUGGAGCACACUGUCUGCAUUGUUGAUUAGGUGUGUAAAGUCAUAGAGUUAUACAGCACGGAAACAGACCCUUCGGUCCAACUCGUCUAUGCCGAACAGAGAUUCCAAACUGACCUAAUCCCGUUUGCCGGCAUUUGGCCCAUAUCCCUCCAGACCUUCCAUACCUGUCUUUUAUCUGACCUCAGAGAUAGUAGGAAUUGCCGAUUCCAGUUGUCUGAGAUAACAAGGUGCGGAGCUGGUGGAACACAACAGGCCAAGCAGCAUCAGAGGAGCGGGAAAGCUGACGUUUCGGGUCCAGACGUUUCCUGCUCCUCUGAAGCUGUAUGGCUGCUGUGUUCCUCCAGCUCCACACCUUGUUAUCUCUUUUAUCUGAUCUCGACCGGUUGCUGCUAUUGAGAAUGAAAUCAAAUGCGUUGCAAUAGUAUCCGUUAAGACACAAAAUUGUCACAAGGUUGUUGAAUUAAAAUCCUCGCCCUUUAUAUCCGGACGUUGAAUUUUUUUCCCGUUUGGCAAAUUGCUGCAAUUAUUUUUGUUUGUGAGCGUUUAACCAAGUUGUGUAUAAUUUUGUAUUGCCGUGAUGCUUUCUGUGCGUGGAAAACUACACGAAACUUGUCUGGUGGCAGGAGGUCUUAAUUUUAAAAUGUUACGUGUGUUAAUUUGGAGUUUACCCACGAUUAGCCGUUUAAUUGUGUUAUUCACAGUCUUGGUUGGAUGUUUUCAACUGAGACCAACAGCUGACGUUAACCCUUAAUCCCCAAAACAACACCUGCUGGUGAGCGGAGAGAUCUUUUAGCAGCUUUUGCUGCAAAAGUGACUUUAUUUGUGCCUGGUUCGUGAGGAUUCACAGAUACUCCACCGAGAUUGUCUGUCCAACUGUGUGGAUCUAUAUAUAUAUAAAUGUGUCGCCUUGUAACGAGCGUGUCAGCAGUUUGGUUUUGAUGAGUGAUCCUGGGGAUGAGUCUGGGAAGAGUGCCCCACAGUCAGCAUCGCAGUGAAGUAGUCUGGGAAGAGUGUCAAAAAAGUGACACGGGGCAAGAGAAAGCAGCUGAUUGGUCACAGUAGCAGAAAGUUCUGAAUGGGAGAUAACCAGGUGUAGAGCUGGAUGAACACAGCAGACCAAGCAGCAUCAGAGGAGCAGGAACGCUGACGUUUCGGGCCUAGACCCUUCCGAAUGGGGUUGGUUUAGUUAUUAAGAUUUGGCAUUGCGGGACAAGAGAUUUUUUUGCCAUGUGACUGAUGUGCCCCUGUUACUUCCAGUUAUUAUAUAUGAUUCGUUAGGAAGGUGCAAACAGAGAUUAAGGGCUUUAGCACUGGGAGGUUGCACAGUCCACGGGUAAAUUGGUGAUGGUGAAGUGGCCAAUUUAUUUGAUCAUAUUGGUGAAAUUCUAGGGAAUUCUCGUCCUCCUCCUUCUGGUUGGUGAAGGAAAGGAAGAUAAAAUACCUCUUAAACUAGAAACAGGGCUCCUUGUACAACACAAUGAAUAUUGUCUUUUAGUUUUGGAUUAAAACAGAGAAACUUGCUGAUUUCUUAUAGUUUAGUGAGCGAUACAGGAAAUACUUAAAAUUUUCGCUGGUGUUGCCAUUUCUGAUUUUACAUUACAGUACAUUAC